ensembl:lncRNA
CGGUUGUGCUGAUUCACAAGGAAACAAUUUCCCUUCUAUUUCAGCAGCUUACCAGCAGGAAACUGCAGGGCAGUUUGCCAUGACCAUAGAAAAUGGGACAUGUUGCACGUUAUCCAAGACUUCCUGGGUGCCCAUUAAGUCCUUCAUGGCCUGAAGUCUUGAGUUUUCUGUUAAGGAAAAGAUGGUUUGGGUUUCUUUUUCCAUCCUGCUGCCUUCAUUCUGCAUGGAAAUCGUGCGGCCAGCUGUCAGGUGGGGACAGAAUACACUGCUGAUGGCAGUCUGUGUGAUUGUAAGGGAUAAAAAGGACAAAAAUAAGAAAACAAAUGAGGAUCAAGAUCCAGACCCAAGCAACUUCAGUAGACAGUACCCG